UCUUCCUUAGCUUAAUUGGCUAAAGCAGGGGACUCUUAAUCCCAAGAGUCUGGGUUCGAUUCCCAGAGGAAGAACCA
rnacentral:tRNA from 1 species